UUAGUAUAUUCACAGAAUUACACAUUUUGUUGUUUUGUUUUCAUAAAUCGUCUUCUGAGGGCUUGUUACAUUUCUACUAUAUUUGGUGUUCCUGGUGUAGUCCUAGAAAAACACUGUUUAUCCAGCACUGAUCUGCUCCAAACUUCAACAUGCCCAGAAUAGAUGGUUCUUCAGGAUGUGACCUGUGACCAUUUGAGCAGGGCGCAGCUCUGAGUGUUAUUUUCAAGUCCCUGUUACAGAGAUCACAUCAGAAGACUAAGGCACCACCAGCAGCACCGGGCUGGGUAAGCAAAGCUGCCCCUUGGCAGCCAGUUCCACGGCGGAGACACAAAGAAGGUUUACAGAAUCAUCCUUAGAAAGACAUGGGAGGGCAGGGGCAAGAACAGCAGCCUCUCCCUAGCUGACAUCUCACCAGGGUUGGCUAAACAGUCCUCCCCUUGCCCCACGAGUGGCAGGACAGCUCCCAACACUUCUUUAGGCUUGAAGCACAUGGGGAAGGGCGAGCCUCCCAGGAUUCUCAGAUGGAAGCAGCCUGCGAGGCUGAACCAUCUAGAAGACUCCCUCCCUCUUCCCUGAGCUCUGUUUCUUCCAUGAGGUUGAAGAAAAAUGCCGUCGUGGUCCCCUGUCUGCUUACUCGGUGUGUCAAGCAGGAGUUCUCGGCUCCAGUGUGCCAUGGAGGGCCUUGGGGAGGGGUCACAUACCAUUCCCAUCCCCAGGCACAGGAGCACUGAGGACCCUCCUUGACCUCCUGGAUCAGAAAGGCAGAGGAAAUGCUGUGCAGAAGUCAAGGUGUCAGUGGGCUGCCCUCCUUCCGGAGGCUCCAGGGGAGAAUCUAUUCCUCGCCUCUUCCAAUUGCUGGUGGCUGCUGGCACACCUUGGCUUGUGGCCACAUUACUCCAAUCUCGGCCUCCAUGGUCACAUUGACUUCAUUUCUUCUAUGUGCAUCAAAUCUCUCUCUGCUCCCUCUUAUAAAAAUACAUGUGAUUGCAUUUAGGGCCCAUGGAUCAGCAAUGUCAUAAAAGACCCCAGUUGUUUCCCUGUCUCCUCUCUGCCAUCUUUGGUGUGUUGACUUGACCCUGAAACUAAUUUUCCUUAUGGUCACAAGAUAGCUGCCACUGUGCCAAAUAUUACAUGCAGUCUCAAUGAAGGCCAAAGAUGAAAUAGAAUCAUCUCAUCUUCGCCUCUGCCUUAAGAAUAAGGAAACCUUUCUCAGAAGCCCUCUAGA